rnacentral:rRNA from 1 species
UACGUAGGGUGCAAGCGUUGUCCGGAAUUAUUGGGCCUAAAGCAUCCGUAGCCGGUCAUGCAAGUCUUCCGUUAAAUCCAGCCGCUCAACGGUUGGGCUGCGGAGGAUACUACGUGGCUAGGAGGCGGGAGAGGCAAGCGGUACUCAGUGGGUAGGGGUAAAAUCCUUUGAUCCAUUGAAGACCACCAGUGGCGAAGGCGGCUUGCCAGAACGCGCUCGACGGUGAGGGAUGAAAGCUGGGGGAGCAAACCGG